rnacentral:miRNA from 1 species
GAAAAAGAGGAGGAGAGAAAAUGAAAGUAGAAAAAAAAAUUUGUUUUUUCUUUCGAGUCGCAGUUGUUAUUAGUGUCCGCCCCACCAUAGCACGAGGAACAAACGUCGGUGUUUUAAGCAGUUGUGCGCACCACCUCGCUUCCCUUCUUUCUUUCUUUCUUCUUUUCUUUUC